CUGCAGCCAAUUAAGCUGACCUCACUCCUUUUCUGCUGGGGGCCCAGUGUGCAAUGGCUGCAAACAACAGCCUCCUUGGUAGUGUAUGCAGCCUGUUCGUUGCAUGGGUUGCUCUGAGGGACCUUGGAGACAGUC
rnacentral:snoRNA from 1 species